AUGUAUUUACAAAUAAGUGAUCCCUUUAGAUAUUUGCCUGUGUACCUUUUCCUGUAAUUCAGAGCUUGCGUUCUGUGGGUUGUAUGAUAAAGCUGUAAAACAUGUAAGAAUGGUUUUGCAAGUCUGAAUCGUUGAAGGCAGCAAUAAGUGGAUUUAGAGCCUGUUCUUGAGCAGACAAAGGGAAAAAGUGUGACUCUGAUGCUGAACUUGUCAUUUUUCAUUUGACUUGUCUUGAAUGAUUUAGGAAUAGAGAGAACUAGAAAAAGAGAGAAAUAGAAUCGAUUAUUGAGCAGUCCUCAAAUGCUCACCAUAAUUCAGUGUAGAGCCAAAGGGAAGGGUGAUGGAACAGAGCUCUGUGCUUUGGAAGGAAAUAAAUUUAAACCUGAUCUCCGCACAGAGUCUCACUAACUUCUGUGGUUUUAAAAUACAAAAUACGUUUAGGAAGUGUUGGAAGUUAGUAUUUUGGGAAAGAAACGGCAGUUCCACAGAACAUUCCAUUUCACAGAGGCUCUAGGAAGGAUUCAUGUUGUAACUGCUGUCACUGCAAUCAGUUGGUGGUUCAGCCUUGAAACGUGCACUUGGCCUUCUAUAAAGCGCUGUUUUGUUUGCCUUUCAUUGCUAUGAGUCUUGAUAAAUUGGAGAAGAGCCCAAGAGAAAUUUUUCAUCCCUUGAUAUAAAAGGGAUCGGUGAAUUUUAACUUUGGAGUCCUCUAUGCUAAGGAUGCUCAGCUUACAGAUGAUGAAAUGUUCAGUAAUGGUGAGUUUUUCACGUUCUCUUUAAUUGCUGUGCUGAUCUGAAUAAGAAAAAAACAAAAGCAAGAGGGAAAAAAAAGGAUGGUUUAUUAUUUUUUACGCUGUUAUGUUUGUUUCCUCAGUAUUUGCUGCAGCUCUGCUUACCCAAGCUUUGUGUUCCUUCUGUCCCACUGGGAGUUGCCCAGUUUGGUUGCAUCUGGUGAAAUUCACCCUGAGACCUUACACAACUAGCUCAAACUACGUGAGAGCCAUUUGCAGUUCUCUCCAGACACCUGGAGAAUGGGUGACGUUUCUGAGGGUCUGGCAAGUGUACUUCUAUCAAAACUCAGUCUGUGAAGUUUCUGGGGAAAACCCUUCUGUGUCCUGAAGGGUUCAAACUCCUGUGAGGAUCCAUUUAUCAGGUGCUCACCUGGAUGGUUCCAGCUCUUAAAGUGAACACUUGUACUCUUACCCUGUAGUUUACAUCUAUUGUAUUUUUGUUAUUUUGCAAGAUUUUUUGUCUUUGCAAAAUAUUGUGCAUUUCACUCUUUGGAACCUCUCAGAUGGUUCUUUGGUGCAGCACCACCCCAUGGGACACUUGGCUGCUGUCCUGAAGGGGAUGGUCGCUAGAAUUGUAAAUUCUGGAGAGUUUAUAAGUCUUCUGUCCCCAGGGAGGUACCAUGCUUUGUUUACUUUUGUUCUGUUUGUUAGGCGCUGCUUCUCGUUGCAAGUAUGAAUUUCAAACUGCCCUGUUCUUAUUUUAACUGUUUUCCUGGUUCUCUCCGUCCGACAGGGAAAGACUCUCAUAUCCUCGUCGUCGGGCUCGGUGCUGUCCAAGAAGAUACAGAGACUAAAAAAAUCAUAAGCAGCAAAAUAUGACUGCAGGGAAAAGAAGCUGGAGAGAACAGAAGGCUGCCAUUUGUGUGCCAUCGGUACUCACCAUGGAAGCGAGCUGGGGAUUGUUGCACCCGUUGGGAACAAACCGCUUCUUGUCACACAGAAAUGGAAUUGGGACGACGCCUCGGCCAGCCCCUCUCUGCCAUCGUCUCCUGAAUCUGCAGCAGAGCAGUUCCAGUCCAUCCGGGCACGUGCAAUCCAGUUCCUGAUGAUCUGAGCACACGGAGCAGCGCUCAGCUGCUGUGGGGGGCUCAGGGAAGGCAGUGUGUGCAUUGUCAUCUUCCUGAACCUACAGACAAAUCAAAGUGAGAAGCCACAGGGUGGAAAUCAGUUGCAUAUAUGCUAAACAAAACUUGCAGGUUGUUUUUAAGAAUUGUUUUUGCUUGUUCUUUGUUGUGCUUCUGUGCUUAGAAAACCUCCCUUUAAAAUCAGUUCAGUUCAUCAGUUGAACCUUUGUUUGCAGACCCUCAGUGAGCAGAAUUUGUUGCAGACUCAGUGCACGCUGUGCCGGCCUCCCGGGAGUGUGAGGAGCUCAUGUGUGCUACUUUUUGCUUUAGGACGCUCUGAGGUAUUUAUUCCUUUUGGGAUACGUGAUGAGAAUUCCCAAGAGAGGUAGUUAUAAGGUAUGACAUUGGGAAAAAGCCUGUGUGGUUGGAAUGUUGUUGCUGUCAAAAGUUAAUUUUUCCUUCAUUCUUAGCCAGUAGUUAGCUUUUUGCUUUAUUUUUGUGGUAUCAGUAUUUUAUUGUUUAAAAAAUUCCUUCAAAAUAACUUCAGUGGUCGCCCACCAGUACCUUGUUCAGAUUUGCCUAUUUGCUUGUAGCUGAAAUGUUCACAUCUUGAUUAUCAUUCUAUUUAAGAAACUGCUGCCCAGCCAACUAAUAACUGAAUAUCCAUCUGUCUAGGACACGGGGAGAGGAUUUAGGUAAUGUCUUUGUUUCCAGAAAAAAGUUCCAGUGUACUUUCUAAACAGAGGAGAAGGGGGUGAAGACUCUGGGCUCUGAUGCCGUUGGGGCACCCCAAGGUCCCCAGGAGAGGGAGCCCCACUGCGGUGCAGGAGCAGGUGUGUUCUCAUCUAAUAUUGAACAAAUUAUAAAUAUGAAAAUUAUAAACAUGAAAAUAUUUUUAAAAUACUUAAAUAAAGCAGGUUUUCUUUAUUGGUCAAUAGGCAGGGUUUUGAUUGUAAAAAUUAUAAAUACAAAUAAUAUAAAGGUAGAAAUCUAAGUUUAGAAAUAUAUAAUAAAUACAUACAGAUAAAUAUAAAAAUUAAAAAUAUAAGAAAAAAUUAGU